ACUUCCUUGUGAAGGGAAGAGGAGGGGCAGGCACUGGUCACUUCUCUGUGGUGACCAGUGACAGGAUCUGAGGGAAUGGCCUAAAGUUGUGUCAGAAGGGAGGUUUAGGUUGGAUAUUAGGAAAAGGUUCUUCACCCAGAGAGUGGCUGGAAAACCUACU